CAGUCCAACGUGACGGGGACCCUGCCUGUAAGAGGAGAUGUACACAGCCUGACAGGGCCGAAGCCAACUCACAGUGAGGUGCCAUCCGGGUAACCUUUGGGAGCAGAUGAGCAUUGGAGGUAUCCCAGAAGAUGACAGCACGUUGUCCAAGUCUGG